rnacentral:rRNA from 1 species
AUGAAUACCACUACGGAUAAUUUCUCGCACUUACCGAGUAUCCACUCAUCCCCAGUUGUUUCAUGUAUGUCACCAAUCCUCGAAAUAUCACUCGAUCUUCCGAAAAUCUUGAGCAUCCUGUUGCUCUUGAAAUUCUUGAUUGCUUGCAUUAUGGUUAGUCCCAUAAGUCUAGUAAUCUUGUUGACACCCAUUGUCAUUGUCAUUUUGAGUCCGUUGAUUCGAUUUGUUGCGAAUGCUCACAAUCCUCAAACAGAUCCUAGAAUUCAUCCUUCCGGCUCAGACGUUGUUUUAAUCAUGAGCUGGUUCUCGCCAAUUAAAUUGUCGUCGAUUUUGCCCCUAAGUCUAUUGAACUUAUCCAUCCUUGAUCAGAGCGUCUGCUUCUGA